rnacentral:rRNA from 1 species
GAAUAUUGGACAAUGGGGGCAACCCUGAUCCAGCCAUGCCGCGUGUGUGAAGAGGGCCUUUUGGUUGUAAAGCACUUUAAGCAGGGAAGAAAAGGCUCUGGCUAAUACCUGGCGCUGCUGACGGUACCUGCAGCAUAAGCACCGGCUAACUCCGUGCCAGCCGCCGCGGUAAUACGUAGGGUGCCAGCGUUAAUCGGACUCACUGGGCGUAAAGCGUGCGCAGGCGGUUCGGCAAGAAGGAUGUGAAAUCCCAGGGCUUAACCUUGGAACUGCAUUCUUAACUGCCGGGCUAGAGUAUGUCAGAGGGGGGUAGAAUUCCGCGUGUAGCAGUGAAAUGCGUAGAGAUGCGGAGGAAUACCGAUGGCGAAGGCAGCCCCCUGGGAUAAUACUGACGCUCAUGCACGAAAGCGUGGGGAGCAAAC